CCAUUUCUUUUUAUUUAUUACUAUUUCUAUUUUAUUUUUCCUCGCUCAGCCUAAUCUGUCCCCCUCUCCCCCUCCAAACUCCAAUCCUGACAUUACCAAGCCGCACUGAGAGCAUCGGGGGCGUUGUGUGGACUGCGUCGGGGAAAGUGACCAUGGCUUUUACCACCUUAGAGAUAUUGGUGUGUGUGUGUGUGUGUCCAUCUAUCCUAACCUGAGCUAACUUCUCUCACCCACACACAUGUAACGUUCCUUUUUAUUAUUUCUGUGUUUCUUUGAGUCUCCCCAAUAAUUGUUUUCUUUUGUAGCUUGCGGUGAAGAGGAGGAUAAUAGCGGUAAUUAAAGGUUUAGUGAUUAUAUGAAAAAGUAUAUUUAUAAGGCGUGUAUUCGUGGGAGUGAUUUAAAAGUCUUGAAACAUUUAUUAUAAAUAGUCUUACUUAUUUCAACUGUGGUUUUCUCUAAUCAGUGGUAAUACGAAUAAUAGGAUUACAUCAUGUUGCGUCAGCCUACCAGUAACUCAUAAGGUGUCAUUCCCUAGCUUAUAAAAUAUGUUAGUAAUUUAGAAUUCAAUUAUUAACUUCAACUAAUGUCCAGCCUAUAUGCUCACCUUGCUAGCCAAUUAUUCCUGCAUUUUUAUUUAAACUCACGGUUCAGUAAAAUUAUUUGUGAAAGAAGAGAGAGAGAGAACUAGCUAAGGUUCCAAUAACUUCAGAGGCCUGUGGGUGUUGAGGGAGAGAGCACAGAAUGGCGUCUCCCUUCCCUCUGGCAACAGGUGGGUCUCGUAGCUCUGAAAUAUUUGAUUUUUCUUUUAUUUAGAAGUGAAUAUUACUGUGUUCAUGUUUAUUAUUCAUGUCUCUAGUGAAGAUAAUUAUAGUGACUGUACGUGUUGACAGAAUGGCGUCUCCAUUCCCUCUGGCAACAGAAUGGCGUCUCCCUUCCCUCUGGCAACAGAUAAAAUUGCUGGUGUUGGUCCCACGUGGAGACAGGCCACAGAGUCUUGGGAAAGUGUUAGCCAUGUAAUGUUUCUUUAGUCAAAUAUAGUCUACUGUGAAUGUGUUGUGGGCAAUAUUAUUGCCGUAGAGAAGUGAUGGAUGAAGGCUGUGACGCUAUUUAGGGAUAUAACGGUGCCCAGAAUCAAUGGUACUCUUGAGGAGUUAUAAAAGUAAUUAUUUUCUUGUGUAUUCGUAGUGUUAAGUAACGGAGUAUAAGUGUAUAUGCCAUACCAGAAUUUCAAGUGCCUUUUCUUUUUUUUUUCUAGAUUAACCACUCGAUAAAGUGUCAUAGUGGGUCAGUCAACCCAAAGAAUCCCAUCAGUAUUAUUCAUUUAAUUAUUUUUGCUAUUUUUAUAUUUUUCGUUCCUCCUAAUAAAGCCACACUGUAGGUACUGUGUGAUAAUUAACCUCUCCCUACCCUCUGGCCAUGACGAUGAAGGCGAGAACCAUUACCAAUCAAAAAUGUUUUCUUUUUUUCUAUUGUGUGUGCGUGCUUCACCUCUUCUCUCUUCCUCUUCUUUUUUCUUCUUCACCGUGAAGAUCUUUGCCUCGUCUCAUUAGAGCUUUGAUCGGACCGGUGAGGAGGAGGGAGGAGGGGGGGGUGGCGUUACACACACAAAGGAAGUUAACAACAUUUCUACAUUAAUAACAGGAGAUACACCAUUGAAAACCCUGAUAAUCAUCUUUAUAGCUUUGAAAAACAGUCGUGAGGAGAGAGAGAGAGAGAGAGAGAGAGAGAGAGAGAGAGUAUGAGCAUUUCAGUUGAGCCUAUUCUGCCCUGGUUUGUGUUUGCUGCGGUGACACGGUGCCGCACUGAGUGAAGAUUGCGUUCAUAAUCACUUAUUUGGGGUGGAGUGGGGAAAGGAGAGUCAGGAAGUGAGGAUAUUUAUAUUAUUUGACAUAUUAUUUGAUAACAUGUCAACUUGUGUGUGUGUGUGUGUGUGUGCGCGGGGGUGGGUGUUGGAUCAGUGACAGGUGGCGCUGCUGGGGAGUUACCACUGCGAGCGGCUGGCUGGCUGCAGUGUUUUGGUCAGCACUGGUCAGUCUUGCCCCACACGCUCUAUUAACCAGUGUUUCCGUCUUCCCGACACCUUCUUCCUGCACCAAGCACCGUCAAGCAUCACCAGAGAGGCACGAGUACGUAAGCUAUCCAACAUCAGAACAGUAUAUGAAUAUGGCAAAUGCUGUUUUGACAUCAUUUCCUGCCAUCCUGAGAAACAGUGAUCUCGAGGAGCAUGAAAUGCAGCUGCAAUGAAAAUUGUGCAUCCAGUGCAAAUUUCAGAAUUCAAGAAAGAGGCAGGAUUCCUCAGUGACUGAGGUGACGUCAAGGAAAAAGAAGAUCCCUUGCAUAGCGCCAAAAGAGACUACAUGUCCACUGAUGUAUGGAGUAAAGGCUAACCUUCCACCAAGGCUUCAUUCAGAAGAUGAUGAGUCAUUAGAGAGACAUAGACAGUGGCUUGCUCUACACUGGAUGAAGAAAGAUCCCGAGUUAGAUAAGGCUGAACGCCUCAUGCAGUUGACACUCUCUGAGAGAUGCAAAAAAAUAAUCAAUGGGAACAUUCUUGUAGCAGAAAUCCUGAACUUGUACCCAUGGAUUCAGACUUUUGAUGGUAUAAUCAAGGAGUUCCUGAGAUUAGAACCACAAGCGGAUGAACCAGACCCAAGAGUAGCAGUUUUGAAAGGGCUGGAGAAAUAUAGGCUCCCAAUAAUUGCCAUUCUCAAAAAAAGAAAAGCAGUUCCUCUGUAUAUGGAAACCUUACUUGAACUCUAUGACCACGAUGAAAGUCAAUGUACCAGAAGAAGAACUAAGAACAGGGCAGUCUAGUGUGUAUUUGAUGGUGCACCUGUAGCUGAACCAACAUGUAUUUCUAUGGCUGUAGUCUCAUUGGUAGCAGGGCUUUGUGUUUAAUAUUGAACACCCAAAAAAUUGUGAACAUUUCCUCCGUUUCACAACAUCCCAUCUCUUAGGUAUCAAGUAUGACAAAGAUAUUUUUCCUGUAUCUGAGUUGGGCAAGCCAGCCCAGCUCAGUGCCGGUCACAAGCCCGGAUAAAUGGGGAGUGUUGCUGACAGGUCUAGUCAACCGAGCGUCAAAAACAAGACCAAACAUAAAUAAUGAACCUUAGGAAUACCUGUAUACUGGUAAUUUUUAUGUAUAGCAGGGAUGGACUAUUAUCUUGUCUGUUAAAUUUAGAAACACCAUUGUAGAGAUUGAAUGCUCCAAUAAAGUGUUCAGUGCAAAUUUAA